UACGUAGGGCGCAAGCGUUGUCCGGAAUUAUUGGGCGUAAAGAGCUCGUAGGCGGCUUGUCACGUCGGGUGUGAAAGCCCGGGGCUUAACCCCGGGUCUGCAGUCGAUACGGGCUAGCUAGAGUGUGGUAGGGGAGAUCGGAAUUCCUGGUGUAGCGGUGAAAUGCGCAGAUAUCAGGAGGAACACCGGUGGCGAAGGCGGAUCUCUGGGCCAUUACUGACACUGAGGAGCGAAAGCGUGGGGAGCGAACAGG
rnacentral:rRNA from 1 species